CGUAGGGUGCGAGCGUUAAUCGGAAUUACUGGGCGUAAAGCGUGCGCAGGCGGUUUUGUAAGCCAGAUGUGAAAUCCCCGGGCUUAACCUGGGAAUGGCAUUUGGGACUGCAAGGCUGGAGUGCGGCAGAGGAGACUGGAAUUCCUGGUGUAGCAGUGAAAUGCGUAGAUAUCAGGAGGAACACCGAUGGCGAAGGCAGGUCUCUGGGCUGACACUGACGCUCAUGCACGAAAGCGUGGGGAGCAAACAGGAUUAGAUACCCUGGUAGUCCACGCCCUAAACGAUGUCGACUGGUUGUUGGGGGUUUGACACUCUCAGUAACGAAGCUAACGCGUGGAGUCGACCGCCUGGGGAGUACGGCCGCAAGGUUA
rnacentral:rRNA from 1 species